rnacentral:sRNA from 1 species
UUAUUAUAUGUUUUUUUCCAUAGCAUACUAUCCCAUGUUAUUAUCUAAUCAAACCCGUCACACCAUAUAACCCCGUCCCGUGAAAUUAAACACAAAUUUGUCAUCUUAUUAUAAAUUUCAAAUAUUUAUAAAAUUAGAAACUUCAAAAAAGAUUAAUAUUGACCCAAACUUCAUCAUUGAAUUUUGAGUGUUAUAUCUAAGAUUUCUCUCGCAGUAUAUCGUCCCGUAUUAAUAUCUUUUAUAUUGUUUAAAUUUCUUGUAAAAUUUAAUUUAUAAUUUUUUAAACUUUUUAAAGUUUCAAUUUUUUAAAAUAAAUAACCCUAGUAAACAAACCAUUUUAAUUUUGGACACCUCAUAAAUCAAGUUUCAUGCUCAUUCGUAAUCGAAAUCAUUUUGGUUCUUUUUAUAGUAUGACUCUUGACCAUUUUCCAAUUUUUUAAGCAAUGUGGGACAUUGUAAAAUCGUAAUUAUUAUCCACCCAAAUCCGUCCUACCAUAUAACCCAGUCCCGUGAAAUUAAACAUAAUUUUGUCAUUUUCUUAUAAAUUUUAAUAUUAUAAA